rnacentral:rRNA from 1 species
UGAAAAAUUAGCGGAUGACUUGUGGCUGGGGGUGAAAGGCCAAUCAAACCGGGAGAUAGCUGGUUCUCCCCGAAAGCUAUUUAGGUAGCGCCUCGUGAAUUCAUCUCCGGGGGUAGAGCACUGUUUCGGCAAGGGGGUCAUCCCGACUUACCAACCCGAUGCAAACUGCGAAUACCGGAGAAUGUUAUCACGGGAGACACACGGCGGGUGCUAACGUCCGUCGUGAAGAGGGAAACAACCCAGACCGCCAGCUAAGGUCCCAAAGUCAUGGUUAAGUGGGAAACGAUGUGGGAAGGCCCAGACAGCCAGGAUGUUGGCUUAGAAGCAGCCAUCAUUUAAAGAAAGCGUAAUAGCUCACUGGUCGAGUCGGCCUGCGCGGAAGAUGUAACGGGGCUAAACCAUGCACCGAAGCUGCGGCAGCGACGCUGAUGCGUUGUUGGGUAGGGGAGCGUUCUGUAAGCCUGUGAAGGUGUGCUGUGAGGCAUGCUGGAGGUAUCAGAAGUGCGAAUGCUGACAUAAGUAACGAUAAAGCGGGUGAAAAGCCCGCUCGCCGGAAGACCAAGGGUUCCUGUCCAACGUUAAUCGGGGCAGGGUGAGUCGACCCCUAAGGCGAGGCCGAAAGGCGUAGUCGAUGGGAAACAGGUUAAUAUUCCUGUACUUGGUGUUACUGCGAAGGGGGGACGGAGAAGGCUAUGUUGGCCGGGCGACGGUUGUCCCGGUUUAAGCGUGUAGGCUGGUUUUCCAGGCAAAUCCGGAAAACUAAGGCUGAGGCGUGAUGACGAGGCACUACGGUGCUGAAGCAACAAAUGCCCUGCUUCCAGGAAAAGCCUCUAAGCAUCAGGUAACAUCAAAUCGUACCCCAAACCGACACAGGUGGUCAGGUAGAGAAUACCAAGGCGCUUGAGAGAACUCGGGUGAAGGAACUAGGCAAAAUGGUGCCGUAACUUCGGGAGAAGGCACGCUGAUAUGUAGGUGAAGUCCCUCGCGGAUGGAGCUGAAAUCAGUCGAAGAUACCAGCUGGCUGCAACUGUUUAUUAAAAACACAGCACUGUGCAAACACGAAAGUGGACGUAUACGGUGUGACGCCUGCCCGGUGCCGGAAGGUUAAUUGAUGGGGUCAGCGCAAGCGAAGCUCUUGAUCGAAGCCCCGGUAAACGGCGGCCGUAACUAUAACGGUCCUAAGGUAGCGAAAUUCCUUGUCGGGUAAGUUCCGACCUGCACGAAUGGCGUAAUGAUGGCCAGGCUGUCUCCACCCGAGACUCAGUGAAAUUGAACUCGCUGUGAAGAUGCAGUGUACCCGCGGCAAGACGGAAAGACCCCGUGAACCUUUACUAUAGCUUGACACUGAACAUUGAGCCUUGAUGUGUAGGAUAGGUGGGAGGCUUUGAAGUGUGGACGCCAGUCUGCAUGGAGCCGACCUUGAAAUACCACCCUUUAAUGUUUGAUGUUCUAACGUUGACCCGUAAUCCGGGUUGCGGACAGUGUCUGGUGGGUAGUUUGACUGGGGCGGUCUCCUCCUAAAGAGUAACGGAGGAGCACGAAGGUUGGCUAAUCCUGGUCGGACAUCAGGAGGUUAGUGCAAUGGCAUAAGCCAGCUUGACUGCGAGCGUGACGGCGCGAGCAGGUGCGAAAGCAGGUCAUAGUGAUCCGGUGGUUCUGAAUGGAAGGGCCAUCGCUCAACGGAUAAAAGGUACUCCGGGGAUAACAGGCUGAUACCGCCCAAGAGUUCAUAUCGACGGCGGUGUUUGGCACCUCGAUGUCGGCUCAUCACAUCCUGGGGCUGAAGUAGGUCCCAAGGGUAUGGCUGUUCGCCAUUUAAAGUGGUACGCGAGCUGGGUUUAGAACGUCGUGAGACAGUUCGGUCCCUAUCUGCCGUGGGCGCUGGAGAACUGAGGGGGGCUGCUCCUAGUACGAGAGGACCGGAGUGGACGCAUCACUGGUGUUCGGGUUGUCAUGCCAAUGGCACUGCCCGGUAGCUAAAUGCGGAAGAGAUAAGUGCUGAAAGCAUCUAAGCACGAAACUUGCCCCGAGAUGAGUUCUCCCUGACUCCUUGAGAGUCCUGAAGGAACGUUGAAG